GAGGUUAGGUAACUCAAUAAGAUUUAGAGAGAAUGCCCGGUGAUAUCCCUUCCCUCUAUAAGCCUUUCUUUUUCAAUGUGUUGAAUAUAAGGCGAGGCACUACAGAGAAGUUCAAGUCCACCCUGGGGUCCCAUCCUAUCUCUCUAUCCCACUAUCCCACUCAGCUCCUUCGUGUCUCGUUCCUGUCUCUUCACUGCCCUAUCGGGACAAAAAGACACAUAGAGGGGUGAGAGAGGUCCCAGGUAUCAUCAAAUUCCGACCUUCCACUACAGUGUGCUUCAAAUGCUGAACUUUAUUCGGAGGCCCGAAAGAAAAAGGUCAGAACUAUCUCUCACAUUACCAAACCACUAAUAUUUUAACAGCAUGUUUUCUGCCUGUUGGAUUAAGCCCAUGGGUCUUGAGAUUGAUUUUUCCUUAUUCUACCACAGGAACACAUUGUAGAAAGACAAAUGUCAUAUGUUCUUUAUAUAUACAGUAUGUCUUUGUACUUGGAUAAAGUGGGUUCCAGAGAAUAUUUGUGCCAAGUUUGAUGCUUGUAUCACAAAGUGAACACUAACUAAUCUGCUACACUAUAUUUUGAAAAUGGUUAUGUUGAAAUUCAGUAAAAAUCAAGCCUGGUCCUGGAUAUUUUCAAAAUCCUCCCUCUUGUCCGGACUACUUUUCCCUUCCAAGAGCACCAGUGGUUUGAGGGACACCAGUAGCGUCCCUGCUGGUAAGUGUAGUGUAAAUGUAAGUGACAGGUCAUCUGCUGUACCUGUGACUGCCACUUCCUCUCUGGGUUUCUGUAAAGAGCAGUGCUGGUGAUCUGUCACAUCUGCUGCCACACCAACAUCUACAGGAAGGACCAGAGUAUGAGUGCAAAAGCAAUCCGUUUCAAACAACAAAAUGAGAUGGCGAUGACUAAAGUUGUUUACAGAAAUGUUCAAACUUUUAACCGUGAUGUCCCUGCUGGCAGCGAUGACGAAGAAGUAUACACCAGUUUGGUGUUCAGAAGAACAGAUAACUCUAUCCUUGCUCAGGAUGGCCAAAUCCAACACUUUGGUCUCUACAAACUAGCGGUGGUGUUUCUGGGCCUUCUGUGUGCUUUUCUCCUUGCCAUCAUCACAGGACUCAGCAUCAUGAUCACUGAAGGGGGACAACAGUUACAGGACUGUUACAUCAGCCAAGCAGAAAUCAAUGCAACUACUCAAGAAAGGGAUGAAUUGUAUAAAAGUUUUACAAACUUAGUUAAAGAGAAAUCACAAGUACAGGACAGCUACAAUCAACUACGUGAAGAGAAAUCCCAGUUAGAGGCCACAUGCAGUACUACAGCAGAAGAAAGAGAUGAGUAUUUAGGGUUCUUUUUUUUACCUGUAGGCUACAUAUACCACAUGUAAUCACAAUCUCUUCCCCAGGUUGUAAUUAAUAUAUGUCUUUCAGAGUCGAUGAAGAAUGUAAAACGCUAUAUAGUGAGGGUCACCCUGGAUCCUGACACAGCACACCCUAACCUCAUCCUCUCUGCUGAUGGGAAACAAGUCAGACUUGGAGAUAAACAACAGCAUGUCAAUCACAACCCAAAGAGAUUCAAUGCUGUGCCAUGCGUCCUUGGAAAAGAGGGUUUCUCUUCUGUGCGGUUUUAUUAUGAAGUUCAAGUCAGUCAGAAGAUGUGUUGGGACAUAGGAGUGGCAAGAGAAUCAAUUAAGAGAAGGGGCAAUAUUAAUUACAGCACUAAAAAUGGAUUUUGGAUAAUAUUGAUGAGCGGGAACGAAUAUUUUGCACCAGAAAUCGUUGCUAAUCCCCUCUCCCUGAAAGAGAAGCCCCAGAGGGUGGGGGUGUUUGUGGAUUAUGAGGCAGGUCUGGUCUCCUUUUAUGAUGCAGACAGUUGGCACCAUAUCCACUCCUUCACUGGUGUCUCCUUCAUUUCUAAGUACUUGCGCUAUUGUAAACCAAAUUCCAAUGACCAUCUCCUCACCAGUUAAGAGUUACUGCUGACAAACCCUCCAUAUCAUAUCAUACUGUAAUAAUGCAAUUUACAUAUAUUCAUAAACCAUAUUCUUUUAUGCAGUGACGUAGAGUACCGAACAGAUAUUUUCAUCAGCAUGUGUUCUGCCUGGGGAUCAAGCUCAUGGUCCUGGUACUACUGUAUAUGCAUCUUACUCUACUACAGGGAUGCAUUAUAUAGAAUAUGAAAUGAUGAAUGAUUCUCUCUCACUGUCCAAGUAUGUUAUUUUUCUGUAAACAUAAUAGGUUAUUUAAAAAUUAUCAUGAAUCUAUACUCUAUUAUUUCUCUAUGUUUACUUAAGUUAUGCUUUAACUUAGGACAUCACAUUAUCACCAUUUUUGUUAUGUGUAUUUUGAAAUAAAAUUAUCGGAUUGUCUAUUUACACCCCUGGUACGAAUAGCCUUGGCCACACAGCUGAGCUAUUCACACCCUAUGACAUA